GGCUACAGAACGAACGCGUGGCGGCGCGUUUAAGCAUGCAAGUCGAGCGGCAAGGGCCUUCGGGCCCCUAGAGCGGCGGACGGGUGAGUAACACGUGGGACAAUCUGCCCCCCGGCCCGGGAUAGCCCAGGGAAACCUGGAUUAAUACCGGAUGAGACGGGACCCGCGAUGGGCGGGACCCGGGAAAGGCGCUGCGGCGCCGCCGGGGGAUGAGUCUGCGUCCCAUUAGCUAGACGGCGGGGUAACGGCCCACCGUGGCGACGAUGGGGUAGCCGGCCUGAGAGGGUGGACGGCCACAUUGGAACUGAGACACGGUCCAGACUCCUACGGGAGGCAGCAGCUAAGAAUCUUCCGCAAUGGGCGAAAGCCUGACGGAGCGACGCCGCGUGAACGAAGAAGGCCGUGAGGUUGUAAAGUUCUUUUCGGGAGGGGGAACAACCGUGGCAGGGAAUGGCCGCGGGAUGACGUGAAUCCCGGAAUAAGCCCCGGCUAACUACGUGCCAGCAGCAGC
rnacentral:rRNA from 1 species